ACGCCAGUCACAUACAGGGUAAUUGCCAGCCAUAUUUCAUCAGAUUACUUUACAUUUGAAUCGUCCUGUGUUGCUCUCAAUUGGUCGGCAGCAGAGACAGACUGCAUCAACAAGAACGCCACUAUAUUCACUUUACUGGAUUUAGCUGCAUCCAUCGGCGGGAUAGUAUUACUGAACGCCACAGCUGAACAUAACACCAUAUGGAUAGGGAACAAUGGUACCACCUGCAAGACAGCUUGUAAUGACUCAUUCCCUCCCCGCAAACCGUAGUGACACCAACUAUUAUGUCUGCAAAGG